rnacentral:rRNA from 1 species
GGAGGAAGGUGGGGAUGACGUCAAGUCAUCAUGGCCCUUACGGCCAGGGCUACACACGUGCUACAAUGGCGCAUACAAAGAGAAGCGACCUCGCGAGAGCAAGCGGACCUCAUAAAUGCGUCGUAGUCCGGAUUGGAGUCUGCAACUCGACUCCAUGAAGUCGGAAUCGCUAGUAAUCGUAGAUCAGAAUGCUACGGUGAAUACGUUCCCGGGCCUUGUACACACCGCCCGUCACACCAUGGGAGUGGGUUGCAAAAGAAGUAGGUAGCUUAACCUCCGGGAGGGCGCUUACCACUUUGUGAUUCAUGACUGGGGUGAAGUCGUAACAAGGUAACCAAGGGCGAAUUCUG